CUUUCCUUUUUAAAUAUUGAUGAUUCAGUACUUCACUUGAUAUGCGAAGUGUUCGUUUAAUGCUAUAUACAUAGCUAAGUUUUUUAAUUUUCUAGACAUACCUAUACAUAGUUUAGGAUAUGUUAUGUGUUAUUUUAGUUUUAGUUUAGAGCAUCACAUAUUAUUUAUGUGCAUGGAAUUUGACAUUGUAAUUGAUUAACCUAUUUCUUUAUGUUUUGUGGUCUUUUGGCAUCUACAUAGCUCAUUUUUUUUUUACUUUUCUAGACACAUCUACACUGUUGUACAUAACUUAUUCUAUGUCAAGUGUUAGUUUAGUCUAAUGUUAGUUUAAUAUACAUUGUCCUGAUUUUUUUUUCACUAUGUAAGUCGACUAUUUUUCUUUUAUUUCGACAUUUUAAUUUUGAUGUGCCAUUUGUGCAAUGGGAAAACAGGUUUAACCGGGAAAUUAGAAGGAAUUUAUAGGUAUUUGGUGUUCGCAGUAGCAGCAGCUGCAACCAUGGCUGAUAAGUAUGGAAUUUAAGUCUGGGAAAUUGAGACUACAAUGGGUUGACUAUAAAAAGUCAAAGAACAUAACAAAAGCUCAAGAACCCGUUUUAAAGUUUUGAAUUUCCAUCAUUUUUUCCUUGGUUUUUCAUUUAUCUGUUAUAAGAGUUUUAAAUGUUUUUUUUAAUUCACUAGGAGCAAAUGAGGCUUUCCCCCAUUAGGUCGUGACUUUUUAAAAAUUUCUUUCUAUAUUUUUUUCUUUCAUUUUAUCAAAUACAUUUUAAACAUUUUUUUUAUUGAUCCUUGUGUGGCCCUUACCUAUAUUCGUUACAAAAUUUUGGUCAACAGACUAGCUAAAUUAUUAUAGAUACUGCAAAUAUAUAAACACUUUUUCCUUUAAAGUUUUGUACAAUUCUGAUUAUAUCUUUUCAUUCCAAACAUUAUUGUAUCAUAUGAUAAGACAUAAAAUAAGCAUUGCAGAGAGGUGCAACCCAAAAGUUGGAAAUGAUAACUUGGUGAUGAAGAGUUUUCACCAAAGAAUAAGCAUGGAAGUUCGCUUUACAUUUGUGUUAUAUGCGAUGAAAGAGGUAGGAUCAAAUUUCUCAAUUUCUGGAAUUAAGCUUCCACAUUCUUCAGUCAUUCAUUGUUGAACAUAAGGAUCUCUAGCUCCAUUGUCACCUCUCUCAUAGUAGAUCUAUUUUCUCCUGCUAAGUCAAGGCAUCUCUAUGCAAGCUCAGCUACUACCUAUAACUGUUCAACACUCCCUUAUCUUAACACUCUUGGUUCAACAAUUUGCAAAAGACGAUAUUCAUUUUUGGAGUUGUCAAAGUUAGUUUGGGCCUGUCUACAAGAGAACAACUUGGUUGGGAAUAUUUUACAUGUGCAUGCCAACAGGAGUUAACGUAGGUUAUGUUUAUGGUGGAUAGGUUGGAGAUGAAUUUAGAUGGAGGUAUGUUUUUUUAAUGAGUCGAUUUUGAUGUUACUUUUGAGGUACAAUGCCUUAAUUGUAAAAUAAGUUAACAUACAAUUCUGAUUCUGUAAUGUUUUUCUAUAUAAGGACCAAUUAUGUAAACUUUUUUCUUCAACAUGGACCAUUUUUGUAAUGUUUUUAUACUAUGGAGAGCAACUUGGUAAUCUUUUUGUUUUGUCACAAGGACCAAUUUUGAGAUAUUUUUCUACACAAAGACUACUUAUGUAGAUACAUAACUCAAUACUCUCACGUAUUACUUUUGUUUUGGCAUUUAUUACUAUUAUCAAAUUUUAGAUUGUGUGAUUAUAAUUUGUUGCAUGCAUUAACAAUCUUGAAGCAAAGCGGAGUGAAUCCAAUGUUUAAUGUCUAUCUAAGUUUUGAAAAAUAUAUUAGGUAUGUAAUGAUUCUCAAUGUGAUAGCAUCUGAUUUCAAAAAAAAUACAUUUAUGUUAUUUUAUUCUCUGAUCUAAAGUUAGGUCUGAUGAAAUUCAAAAAUAACUAUUUCAUUUUAGUUUUUAUCCUUACAAUUUAAAGUAUCAGUGAUUUUCGUUCAAUAUUUUUAAGUUAUGCGUUACUUGAUUUUAUAAUCUCUUUUCUGAUCUCCUCUAUAUGCAUUGAAUAGCAUCGUACAUUAAUUGCUUUUUUUCUAGCAUUUUACUUGUGUUUCUUUCUAUUAUAACAAUCUAUGUUCAAAAGUUUAGCCAAUUAUAGUGAUGCUAUCCAAAUACAAAACAUAUGUAAAAGCUUAUUAGGAAGAAUUUUCAAAAUGUUCUAAAUUGAUCGGAAAAAGCCAAAAGUGCAUUGCCAUAAGUAGGUAGAUUUUAAAAAAAGAAACUUUGUUUAAGUAAUUUAUCAUCUUAGUGUUUAGAAAUAAAUUAAAAUUUUAUUUUAUUGGUUAUCUGUUUUCAUUCUACAAGCAUGGAGAAAGUUUGACAGGUAGCCAGUAUUGUGGUUUAAAAUAAUUUUGAACAUGGAGUUGGAUUUCUGAUUGAAUUUGCAGAUGAGUAAGAAAAUGGAGUUGACUGUAUUGACUACGUUGAAAUGGAGAAUGCAAGUAGUUCAUGAACUCUUCAAAUUCUUAUCAUUCUUAUAGUUUUUCAUAUGCCCAUUUUACGUCAUUUGGUGUUUGUUGUCUGUCUUUCAUGAGUCUGAAACAUAAAGUUACAUGAAUGCAUUUUGGCUGCAUUAUGUUUUGCACUUUGCAGAGAUUACAAAGAAGAGUUGAAGAUGUUUAUGGAUUUCUUUGAAUUUGACCUACUGAAAGACAAAUUUUUUGUUGACAUUUUACUUUGACUAUUAUGUGUUUGUAAGACAAUGUAUUAUACUUUAACAUAAAAAGCGACACCUUCAACCUUA